AGGAAUAUUGGUCAAUGGACGAAAGUCUGCACCAGCCAUGGCCGCGUGAAGGAUUAAGGUCCUCUGGAUUGUAAACUUCUUUUAUCUGGGACGAAAAAAGGCGAUUCUUCGUCACUUGACGGUACCAGAUGAAUAAGCACCGGCUAACUCCGUGCCAGCAGCCGCGGUAAUACGGAGGGUGCAAGCGUUAUCCGGAUUCACUGGGUUUAAAGGGUGCGUAGGCGGACAGUUAAGUCAGUGGUGAAAUCCUAGAGCUUAACUCUAGAACUGCCAUUGAUACUAUCUGUCUUGAAUAUUGUGGAGGUAAGCGGAAUAUGUCAUGUAGCGGUGAAAUGCUUAGAUAUGACAUAGAACACCUAUUGCGAAGGCAGCUUACUACGCAUAUAUGACGCUG
rnacentral:rRNA from 1 species